UUACAAAAAACAUUGAAAUUUAGGACUAACAUUGUAUAAUUUAUUUCUUUUCAGGUACCCCCGCCAGAAGGACGGAAGCAUCGAGUCGCUGGAGGCCUCGAGAGUCAUUGGAGGUGAGUAUUAGUUGUGUUUUGGCAGGAAAUUAGCUGCGGACGCUGGAUGCGCGCCACUUGCAAUAUGUAUGAUAUGUCCGGAAAGCGUUGCAGGUAGUUUAUUGGUGGUAAGUUUAUCCCGCGCCGCUGUCAUUUGGUGGUUUUCUCUUCCACCCUCAGUGGUAGAUGUUUGCAAUUAUUUAUUUAGUUUGUUAAAUUGCAGGUCAGCUUCGCCGGUCGUCGGGAAGAGGAAGCCUGAAGAAAGAUCCCGCACAGCGGUCGUCACGUAGUUUUGGAUCUGCUGCCAUUAUUGUGGUGGGAUCUGUCUCGUUUUGGCAGAGGAGUCGUCAGUGAUGAUUGUGGCUUGGUCGUUCAUCUAGAGUGGCUAGGUGCGCCGCGUUUUGUGGCCAUUUCGCCAGGGUUUGCAGCUUGGAGCCUCCGGAACGUGAUUAGUUGCCGAGGGCCGUCGCAACGAUUGGGGCCGUGGAAAUGGAAGUAAAAUUAGAGAUUGGUUUUGUGUUUUUUCAGGUACAUUUGGUGGGAGGUACAUUAGGUGGAAGCUAAUCUGGUGGUACGUUUUGUAACCCUUUGUUUUUGAAACAUAGCAACGGAAGAGCCGCGGGUUUAGUGUCGUCGUUGUUGUUGCUGCUGGCUUCACUUUUAGAUACUGUUGCGCGCGAGUUACCACCCCACCCCCUAAACCCCCACGCCUCUAAACAAAUCGUCGGACACUCAACCGGGAAGACGGCAACUGGAACACCGCAUCCGGCCGAAUGCUGACAUUCCGGCCGAACGCUGACAUUGCACAAAAAGUCGCACUGCAACAUUGUCCCCAGCUAGCCAGCCACAUGCCGAGUCGGCAUGUUCAUUAUGUUUACAAUUAAGAACCUAUGUACUUAUGUAUAAGAUGGAAACGGAGGAUUCGAGUAGCCUCUUUCUGACAAUAAACUUCACUCUGAUUUUGAACUUCAA